UAACUGAACUGGAAAAUGUUAAGCCUGUUAAACUCUCCUGUUGAAUGAAUGAUUAAAGACACGGCCGCGGACAACGAAAGCUGUUGGCGGUUGGCGCGCGUUUUUAGCCGCAUUCAGAAAAGUAGUUCCGUUAUAACCGUAUUGAUAGCCAACCAAAAACCAAAUAUCAUCUAAAAAUAUAUCUAUCUGCAUAUGCAUAAAUAUAUCUAACGAUAUAUCAGUAUAUACUCAAAAACAUCCCUACGGUACAUUCAAAAAAUUCCAAAAAUUUGUCGUCGGUUGCAUUCGAGAAUCGAUCGAUUCCGAUCCAAUCGGAUUCUAUGUAACAGUAUUCCCCUACAGUAAAGAGUAAUAAUUUAAAUAAAAUUCCUCCCCCGUUGGCCGCUCGUUGCAAACAUUUGUUUCUGCGUGCGUUUACCGAGCGUUUGGCGAAGCGAUUUUUGUGCGUGUUUAGUGCGUUUUGAGCGGAUCCUGCGCGUUUCCUGUGAGUUUCCUGUGCGUUUGCUGUGUGUUUAUUGCUGCGGGGGAGUCGCGCGCGAGCAUAUUUAUUUCUUUCGACGCGACUGCAGCCAGCGGAUGUCGACGUCUCUGCCCUGCAUUUAAUGCAUUUUUUUGUUUCAUUUUUUUUUAAAUUUACGUGAGAGUGCUGUGACAACCACAACAACAACAACAACCAACAAAACAAAAGAGAGUGUGGGUGGGAGUUCAUGCUUAAUAAAAGUUAAUUUAAGCAACAAAAGCAACGACACGAAAAGCAGAGCAGCAGAGCAGCAGCGGCAGAGCAAAGGCAGAAAAAUAGCAGAGGGGAUAGAUAGCAUCUCUGAUGAUUGACGAAAAAUAUCGCGUGGACUUGUCUAUUAACCCAAAUAAGGUUAAAUGCCCAGAGACUGGUCAGAAAAUGAGGGAGAAAAUAUGCGCCAAUCCUUUGCAGUUAUUAUUCUAUUGAAAUCCAUGUGAAUCCAGCCUUGCAACAGCUGCAUCUUGGCACUCCCAAACUCGAACCCGUUGCAAAAGUGGAGUGCAUAAUUAGGAUGCUGUUCCGCCCACGGGAUAUGCAGGACAAACCGUCUCCAUUAUUGUAUGCUAAAUUUAUUGCUACUUAAGUAAUUUAACCAAUUAAAUUAAUAAUUAAUACUGAAAUUUCAUCAAAUUUCCGCAAACAAAUGUUAAAUUAAAUGAAGAAAAAAACUCAAAAAAUCACUCAUUAGCGUUGAUAAAAGUUCUGCCACGAAGUCUCUCAACUAACUUUAAGCCAGAAAACUCCAGAAAAUUGGCUCAAUUUGGGCUAAGGGUAAAAGGGCUAACUGCCGUUACUUUUAGCACUUUUAUCAGCCCAGAAGUACGUCAGCUGCAGCCGCGGACUAAAAACAAUAAAGCAGAAAAGAUUUUAAAAGUCAACUUUUAGAAAAUGAACACUCAAAGUUUAAUAUCUAAAUACAAUUUUUUUUGUGCUCUUGAAUUUUGCCAACCGAAUGUGAUGUGUAAGUGAGUUUUCAGUUGUAUGCAUUCAAAGGACUGGCAGUCCCACAUGUACGGCGAAGGUCAUAGUUCAUAGUUU